rnacentral:rRNA from 1 species
CCUACGGGUGGCUGCAGUGGGGAAUAUUGGACAAUGGGCGCAAGCCUGAUCCAGCAAUGCCGCGUGUGUGAAGAAGGCCUGCGGGUUGUAAAGCACUUUGAGUGGGGAAGAAGGCCUGGGGGUUAAUAGCUUCUGGGAUUGACGUUACCCACAGAACAAGCACCGGCUAACUCCGUGCCAGCAGCCGCGGUAAUACGGAGGGUGCGAGCGUUGCUCGGAAUUACUGGGCGUAAAGCGCGCGGAGUCGGUUGAAAGCCCUGGGCUUAACCUGGGAACGGCAUUGGAGACUGUUGGACUGGAGUGUGGAAGAGGGGAGUGGAAUUUCCGGUGUAGCAGUGAAAUGCGUAGAGAUCGGAAGGAACACCAGUGGCGAAGGCGGCACCCUGGACCGACACUGACGCUGAGGUGCGAAAGCGUGGGGAGCAAACAGGAUUAGAUACCCCAGUAGUC